rnacentral:tRNA from 1 species
UGGCCUGCUGGCUCGGUACGGAGGCGCUACAGGCUGGGGAUGAGUAUCGUCGCGGCUCGCUGCGGCUGUCUGUCGUUCCGUUUCGUCAGCAGGAUGAC